CCUACGGGAUGCAGCAGUGAGGAAUAUUGGUCAAUGGACGAGAGUCUGAACCAGCCAAGUAGCGUGAAGGAUGACUGCCCUAUGGGUUGUAAACUUCUUUUAUAUGGGAAUAAAACGUUCCACGUGUGGGAUUUUGUAUGUACCAUAUGAAUAAGGAUCGGCUAACUCCGUGCCAGCAGCCGCGGUAAUACGGAGGAUCCGAGCGUUAUCCGGAUUUAUUGGGUUUAAAGGGAGCGUAGGUGGAUUGUUAAGUCAGUUGUGAAAGUUUGCGGCUCAACCGUAAAAUUGCAGUUGAAACUGGCAGUCUUGAGUACAGUAGAGGUGGGCGGAAUGCGUGGUGUAGCGGUGAAAUGCUUAGAUAUCACGAAGAACUCCGAUUGCGAAGGCAGUUCACUGGACUGCAACUGACACUGAGGCUCGAAAGUGUGGGUAUCAAACAGGAUUAGAUACCCUUGUAGUC
rnacentral:rRNA from 1 species